AAAGGCAGUUAGAUCAAAUUAUUAAAAAUAGUUCAUUUAUAGCUGAAUAAGAUAGGUAAAAUUAAACUAUCAGCUCAAAAAUUUAUAUUAACUAAACUAUUGAAUCUGCGACAUCCUCGAGGGAAACUGGGAUUAGAUACCCCAUUAUUCUUGGAAGUAAAAAGAAAAUCUACCAGAGUACUAUGAAUAAACAUUUAAAACUCAAAGAGCUUGGCGGUGCUUUAGACUUUUCAGGGGAACCUGUCUUAUAAUCGACAAUCCACGUUAUACCUAACCUUUUCUUGCACACAGUUUGUAUACCGUCGUCGUCAGGUAACUUCUAAAAAUUUCAGUAGUUAGCAGAAAAGUUUAUAUCAAUAAACUUAAACGUCAGAUCAAGGUGCAAUUAAUGAAAGGGACAAGAUGGGUUACAAUUACGAAAUAAUAAUACGAAAAACUAGUUGAAAUACUAUUUUAAAGGAGGACUUGAAAGUAAG
rnacentral:rRNA from 1 species